UGAAAAAAAAACAAAAAGUUCCAGAAUCUCCUACAAUUCAUAUUUUGCUGUAGGUGGACCCACCUGGUUCAUACUUUUUCUGGAAAGCUUCAGUAAUGGGGAAAUAUGUCUCGAAUGCAAAGACAUUUCUUGGGAAGAGAUGGUUUUCACGGUUCAACUUGAUACUUUUAAAGGUAUACCGAUGACAUGAUGCUCGAUCAUGCUGCUCGUACGGCAAUUUCUAACCUUGAAGUAAGGGGCGAUAUUCUAAUGGAAGUGCAAGUUUCAUGUCUAGCUAACACAAAACAAGCAGUGGGUUCUGGAAGAGAGCAUUUGGGGAGAGAGAGAGAGAGAGAGAGAGAG